rnacentral:lncRNA from 1 species
UAAUUAAUGCCCAGUCAAAGACAGCCGAACCUUGUCUAUUCAUCUGAAAAUCUAAUUACUUUUCUUUGCUUUUGACGGUUCAGUUUUAUGGAAAGGUGUUCUUCAAAACUGAUGCCUCUGCUCAUUUGCUUUCCUCUUAUGUAUUUCUUUUUCAUUUCCUCCUCAGUCUGGUUCCUUUCUCUGGUUGAUUUGUUGUUGUUUCUCAGCAUAUUCUGGGACCGUCAUUUCUAGGUAUAACUCUUCUUUCCUUUUUAACGAUUCUGUUGCCACUAUAUGCGCGAGAGCGUUUUUCGAUCUUGGUGUAAACUUGAACAUGACACUCCUAGAUCUGUUUAGUAUCUGCUUGAUAUCGUGAAUAUAUGCUCCAAUACAUGAUCGAUCUUGAUUUUCUGACAAACAUUUCUUUAUUGUUGUGAGGGAAUCUCCUUCUAUGAUAAUCAUCGGCCAUUCUUGUUCUACUCCUAUUUGAACAGCUUUUCGACACGCGAUUGCUUCAGCAACAUAGGCUGACGUUACAUCGUGAUGAAUCUCUGAGCAGGUGAGUAAAACGAUUCCUUCAAUGUUUCUAGCUACAACUCCUGAGGCAGAUUGUUGAUGAGUCGAAUCAUAGGCACCAUCAAAAUUAAUUUUGACGAACUCGCUAGGUGGCUGAGUCCAUCUUUUAUGUUCCUAUUCUCUUACUGACUUUGCCUUUUCAAGACCAUAAAGUUCAGCAAGGUAGUUAUUGAUGAAAUUCACUGUUUCUUGCCCUGUGCUGGUUUUUUUCUCAUGUACUCUUUUGUUUUUUUCACCCCAGAUAGCCCGAAGGCCACAACAGAAGAGUCUGUUUUGGUACGUAUUAAGCUAACCAGAGGUCCAGGUAAUCCAUUGUAUAAAAUCCAUGUCUGGAUUCUUGAGAAUAUUCUGAAGUUUUAAUAGUGCCCAAACUUCCAUUGUGACAGGGCACAUUCUGAAGAUAUGAUCGGUUGUUUCAUUCCUUUCUCCACAUCGGGGACAGUCUGUGUUACUAAUUAGUUUCCGAUGUUGCAUAUUCACCUUCGUAGGCAGAUAGUUCCAGGCAAUUCUCCAUAUUGUAAUCUUUAUUUUGGUCGGUAAAUUUAGUCGCCAUAAUUUUUUGUAAAAAUCCCCAUAGUUGGUUUGUAAAGCAUAAGCUCUAGGAAAUUCAUCAAAAAUUUGUAAUAGUUUAUACGCGCUGCGUACCGAGAAUUCCCCCGAAUAAUCACCUCCCCACACAAACAGAUCGUCAUGAGGUGUGCAUGCUAAAGGUAUCCGAAGAAUUUUUUCAGCAUCGACCGUUGAAAAGGUAUUGUUGAUGAGUUCUCUGUUCCAUAUUCGCGCAUUACUGUCGAUUAACUCAUUAACUUUUGCAUCUUGCAUAGUAUUAACAACCGAAGAUACUUUAAAAUUAAUAGCGUCUGGAAUACACGCAUCAUCAUUAAUGGAAAUAUUUGAACCUGUACCAACCCUCAGCACAUACCUUUUCCUAAAAUUCCCCUUGCUGCCCAUAUGCUUUUCCAGAUGUAGGAGCUAGUUUUUCCCAAUCGAGAAUUUAAAAAGUGCUCAUUCGAAAAAUAUUUUGUAUUAAAAACUUGUGUAACCAGUGAAUCUUGAUUAUUAAUAAUCCAUCCUUGCUUGGCUAAUAAUGAGAUUAAAUUGCAACAUAUUCUUGAACCCCAGACCCCCUUCUUCUUUUGAUCGGCACAUAUAUUUCCAUUGACACCAAUGUAUCCCUUUUCUACCAUUCCCUUUUUGCCACCAGAAUUUUGCAAAAAUAUUUUUCAACUCUUCACAAAAAGAUUUUGGUAAGAGAAAACAUGACAUAGCAUAUGCUGGAAUUGCUUGAAGCACUGACUUGAUAAAAACCUCCUUACCCUAUUGUGACAAUAAUCUUGUGCUCCAACCAUCGAUUUUGAAUUUAAUUUUAUCCUUUAUAUUUGAAAAGCUUCUUUCUUUCGUUUGCCUACCACAUUAGGGAGUCCAAGAUAUUUUUCCAGAUUUGUGGAGCAUCUCACCCCUAAUACUGUUGAUACCUCCGCUUUGUCUCUUUCCGUUGUAUUUGAGUUGUAGAAAAUUGUUGACUUACUGAAAUUCAUACACUGUCUUGAACACUGUUCGUACUAUUUCAAGAUACCUUUUAAGAUUCGUGCUCCUCUAUUUGUCGCUUGGCCAAACAUUAUACUAUCAUCUACAAACAGUAGGU